rnacentral:piRNA from 1 species
UUCGGUAAUCUGCAAUUCACGUUGAAUGGU